AACGAACGCUGGCGGCGCGCUUAACACAUGCAAGUCGAACGAGAAGGCGUAGCAAUACGCUUGUAAAGUGGCGAACGGGUGAGGAAUACAUGGGUAACCUACCCUCGAGUGGGGGAUAACCCGCCGAAGGCGGGCUAAUACCGCGUACGCUUCCGAUCUUGUGGGAUCGGAAGGAAAGCUGUCCCAAGGGGAUGGCGCUCAAGGAUGGGCUCAUGUCCUAUCAGCUUGUUGGAGGGUAACGGCCUACCAAGGCAUCGACGGGUAGCUGGUCUGAGAGGACGAUCAGCCACACUGGCACUGCGACACGGGCCAGACUCCUACGGGAGGCAGCAGUGAGGAAUAUUGCGCAAUGGGCG
rnacentral:rRNA from 1 species